CCAUCUGGAAGAAUCUGGAGACAGGUGCUGCAUGGCUGUCGUCAGCUCGUGUCGUGAGAUGUUGGGUUAAGUCCCGCAACGAGCGCAACCCUUGCCUUUAGUUGCCAGCAGUUCGGCUGGGCACUCUAAAGGGACUGCCGGUGUUAAACCGGAGGAAGGUGGGGAUGACGUCAAGUCCUCAUGGCCUUUAUGACCAGGGCUACACACGUACUACAAUGGCCGAUACAAAGGGCAGCGACACUGCGAGGUGAAGCCAAUCCCGUAAAAUCGGUCUCAGUCCGGAUUGGAGUCUGCAACUCGACUCCAUGAAGUUGGAAUCGCUAGUAGUCGUGGAUCAGCAUGCCACGGUGAAUACGUUCCCGGGCCUU
rnacentral:rRNA from 1 species